GACGAAGGGGGCUAGCGUUGUUCGGAAUUACUGGGCGUAAAGCGCGUGUAGGCGGUUAUCCAAGUCGGGUGUGAAAGCCUUGAGCUCAACUCAAGAAAUGCAUUCGGUACUGGGUGACUAGAGGACCGGAGAGGAUAGUGGAAUUCCCAGUGUAGUGGUGAAAUACGUAGAGAUUGGGAAGAACACCAGUGGCGAAGGCGGCCUUCUGGACGGUGACUGACGCUGAGACGCGAAAGCGUGGGGAGCAAACAGG
rnacentral:rRNA from 1 species